GUGAAUGUGGCUUAGUGGUAGAGUGCUUGUCUGGCAUGCAUGAAGCCCUGGGUUCGAUUCCUCAGUACCACA
rnacentral:tRNA from 1 species